GACGAACGCUGGCGGCGUGCUUAACACAUGCAAGUCGAACGAUGAAGCCGGAGCUUGCUCUGGUGAAUUAGUGGCGAACGGGUGAGUAACACGUGAGUAACCUGCCCUUGACUCUGGGAUAACUGCGGGAAACUGUAGCUAAUGCCGGAUACGACCCUCGGAGGCAUCUCCUGGGGGUGGAAAGAAUUUCGGUCAAGGAUGGACUCGCGGCCUAUCAGCUAGUUGGUGAGGUAAAGGCUCACCAAGGCGACGACGGGUAGCCGGCCUGAGAGGGUGACCGGCCACACUGGGACUGAGACACGGCCCAGACUCCUACGGGAGGCAGCAGUGGGGAAUAUUGCACAAUGGGCGCAAGCCUGAUGCAGCAGCGCCGCGUGAGGGAUGACGGCCUUCGGGUUGUAAACCUCUUUUAGCAGGGAAGAAGCGAAGGUGACGGUACCUGCAGAAAAAGCACCGGCUAGCUACGUGCCAGCCGCCGCAGUAA
rnacentral:rRNA from 1 species